UGACAGCCCCGCUCGCAGAACCGGUUCACGGCCUGCUUCUCUUCGGGGCACGGUGCCAGAGGCCGCUUCUACUUCAGCACCAGUGAUCAGCAAACGAACCCAGGAGUUUAACACAAAAGAUGGAAACCCAAGGCCCACAGGCCGGCCACAUGCUGGACACGGAGCCACCAGCUGCACGCUGAACAUGGAGUCCCACGCAUGUGACGGAUUGCUCCGUGGUCACAGGGUCCCCAACAACAGUCAGGCUCACUGCAGAAAGAUGUACCAUGCAGCGCGUAUGAGACCACCUUCUAGCAGCCACACAGCGGACGUAUUUUCUGCUACAGAUGGAGUGACAACAACAAAUCAGUCUGAACAGAGACAAAUGACAGCUGCAAAUCCGCCCUUUGUUACCCUGCACAGUUCAAUGUGAGCACAAAACAUCCUCAACUUUGUGUCUCCGGAAAUAAUCUGCGGCUGUAACAUCGACAAACGCGGUUGAUAAGAAGUCUCCAUAUUUCUUCUUUUUGGGUUUUGGAAAAAGAAUAAUUGGGCACUGAUUUUAGUAGAGAAAUGUGAUUUAAAAAAAACAAACAAACAAAAAAACCCUGUAAAAACAUGUAGUCCCUCUGCUGGGAAAGAAAAUAAAAAUAUUUUUCAAGGCUAGUCAGCUGCUCUCCACGAGGCCAUUAUUUCCAGGUAAUUUAUACAUGCCUUUAAAAAAAUUAUUAGCAGUGUUCAAUUAGCAUUUUCUUAACUGGCUAAACCAUCUGAAGGGGGAAAAAAAGUUAGAGCUUGCAGCCCAUAAAGACAUGCUAGACUCUUAAACUAAAUUCAGUGCUGAAGAUCAGACUGCAAGAAGUCUCAUUACUGUAUAAGGAAGGAAUGUAAUAGGUGUUUAUAAUGAGGUUGAGUAUAGCUUGAAGCAAAGGCACAGCUGAUUUAUACUGCAGAUAGGCACAUUAACAAAAUAAAUACUUGGAGUGCUUAACUUUGCUCAAUGUAUGCAAAAUCUAAUUUUAAACAUGCUAAGGUUAUAGAACAGGACAAAAAACAAAAAACCGCCACCCUAAGAGCUUCAGGUAAAUACUUCCCGAUACAGUAAACAAUCAAGUUGGAAUCAAUGUUACACUAUAUCAUAACUAGAACUAUUCUAACUGAACACAGAACAGAAUAUUUCUGAAACUUCUUUUCCAAUAUUUUAAAGCUAUGAUAGUAAAGGCUCGCCGUAAUCUAAAGAUUUUUAUUUUCCUACCUUUAAAAAGUAAAACACCAAGAAAUUAAAUAUUGGUAAUUUGUCAGAGUAUUUUCUACUUUUAACUUCUUACAGAUAAAUGUGUAAUCAUAGGUCAUGUAAGAGCAUUCACAUGGUGUAAACAUUUAAAAUUUUAUACAACUCAACACUGUGCAGAUCUUGCUUUUUAGGUGGAUUACGUGUUGGGGAUGGUUCACUGAAUAAAUGCUUACGAUCAGACUGACUUUUGAAAGUGCGUUCAGUGUUGGAAAA